CCCUGCCCGGCGCCCGGCGGCCCCCACGUCCCGCCCCGGGAAGUGGGCUACUCGUCCGCUCACCGUGAAAGAAAGAAAAGAGAAAAAAGAAGAGUUGUGUGAGGGGCAAGCCUGUAGUCCCAGUCACUCCGGAAUGACUCCAGAGGAUCAGGAGUUGGAGCCUGGGCAAUAUUGCAAGACCCGGCCUGGGGCGGGGACCCCUCUCGGAUGAGGAAAAGCGAGAACCGCCUUACAGGCAGCAGACGUUGUGCUGGACCUCGUCGGUCUUCUCCGUGGUGAGCAGGCAGGUGACUCUAAGAAACAACUCUGUCAAUGGCUCCCCAGUGCUGCCUCACUCACUCCUCAUGACUCGGAGGCUGACAUCCGGCGCUCUUCUUGACAUCACCCCUGGGAGGUCUGAUCAGCCAUUCACACUCAACAUGUCCAAGUGGGCACUCAGCCUCUUCAAAGCUGUACCACCCUGAAUGGCAGCUGCACCUGUCCCCAACCCCUUUCCCCCCAAGGCCACUCUCAGCUCAGCAGCCACAGCCCUCCUGGGAGAAAGAAGCCUGUUGCAGACUCCACCUCAGGCUCCCUCGCCAGCCUCUCUCCUUGGUUCCCAACCGGCCAGGCCGCACCCUCAGCCCUUGCCCCCAGUCUCCUCCAGGGCUUCCUCCUGCACUGGUUGUGGUGACCCUUCCCUCAUGCUCAGCUCGAGCACUGUCUGGUGCCCCCCAUCUUGUAUGUUUUCACUUAUUGUCUGCCCUCCCACUACCACCAGAAGCUAGGAGCUGCAGGCGAGCUAUCUGUUGUCUUCCUUCACUGGUCCUGGGCCCUGGACACAGACCACUAGUUUCAUGGACUGAAGAAGGGUUGGAUGCCCAGGCAAGGCCAGGGCUGAGAGGAAGACCGUGCGCUUAGCACAUGUCAGUACCAACUGUCGACCUGAGCCUGCACUUGUGCAAGUAGUGGGUCCUGGUCCAGCUCCAAGGAGAGCCAGAUGACCCCAUACUUGACUCACAAUUUAAGGUCCGCCUCUCUCUAACUGGUAUAUGUCAUGCCCAUAUCUCCACUCAUUCAACAAUGCAUUUAUUGAGCACCAACUGUGUACCAUGUUCUGACUGAGCACCAAAAUAUGGUGCUGAGAAGACAGACAAGAUCCCAGCACCCAGGAGGGCAGACAGACACUAAGCAAAGAAGCAAACUAAUCAGGGAUGUGUUGAGACUCAUUCAUGUUGUGCAGGGAGCAGUUGUUGACUCUUUUUAUUGCUAUUGAUAAACAUCUGGGCUGUUGCCACUGUUUGAUAUUACAAAUAAAACUGCUAGAACAUUUGUGUG